ensembl:miRNA
UGCAGUGCUUUAUUCAGAUUGGUGCCCGUCGUGUGGAAUACAUAUGACUGGCACCAUACUGGAUAAUGUAAUGUUCA